CUCCCUUAUCACAAUUAUAAUUAUUAUUCUUCACUGUAAUUUCUUUUUCCUUUUUACCAUAUUCUUUUUACAUCUUCUUUCUCUUUGGGUAUCCUGAAACUCAUUCUAAAAGAGUCUUGAGAAUCCGAUCGAGAACGUUCUUUCGUUCAAAGGAGAGAGGUUUCAGGCGAAGAACAAGAACGAAGGAGACGACGAUGACGUCGAAGAUCUUAGAAUUUUCAAUCAAAGAACGAAAGAAAGCAAAUAUUUCUGUUGUUUCGAAGUUUUAGAUGUUCGUUGAUGUUGCAGUAGUGAUGUUAAUAGAGUGAGAAGGAAACUUCAAAGUUUGAUCGCGCAAUCAAGGUUUGGAGGAGCGAAGAGAAAUGGCGUCCUCGUCCAAUUCUCCGUGCGCCGCCUGCAAGUUUCUUCGGCAGAAGUGCACACAAGAAUGCGUGCUUGCCCCAUAUUUCCCACCGGACCAGCCGACAAAGUUUGCGAACGUACACAAGGUUUUCGGCAAAAGCAACGUUGCUAAGAUACUCAAUGACCUGAACCCGACACAAAGAGAAGACGCGGUGAACUCCCUGGCCUACGAGGCAGACGCGAGGCUUCGAGAUCCCGUUUAUGGUUGUGUGGGUUUAAUCUCAAUCCUACAACAAGAGCUGAGGCAAAUCCAAUUUGAUUUGAAUAAUGCCAAGAAGGAACUUGUUAACUACAUGGGGCCAUCAGGGAUGCUCCCUUUCAGCCAUCAUCACCCACAUCACCAGUUUCUGUAUCCACAACUACAACAGAACCUAUCUUCCAAUAUGGGACCCUACGGAAUUUCCCCGGUGGGCAUGGGUAUGCCGCUGUUGGCACAAGCGCAAGCGCAAGCACAAGCACAGGUCCAGUUAUUAAUGAGGGAGCGACAACAGCAGCAGCAGCAGAUGCUGGAGGCACAACAUUUAGCCGCAGUUGUAGCUACUAGAGAGCAACAUGAGAUGAUGGGGAGCUACACGCAGCAGCAACAGCAGGAGCUUGUCAGGUUCAAUGGUGGCUUUGAUGGGACUGCCGGAUCUGGUGGGGGAGAUGGCGUUGAGCUUAGUCAGUUGAGCAUUGGGUUGCCUUCUUCCUUGGCUUUGGUUCCAUUAGACAAUUUCUUUCAGAUCCAACAACCGCAACAAGAGCAUCCGCAUCAGCAUCAACAACAACAAAAUCCACACCCGCAGCAGAGAGCUCUGAGCGAUGAGUUUAAGAGCGUUCAUCCGUCUUCUUAAUUCUUGUUUUCCUCCUGCUACUCUUCCUCUGCCUGCCAUUGCUUUCCUUUGAUCACGGUCCAAUGGGGCCACUAUUCAAAAUCAAAGACAAAACAGAAGGAAAUAAAAGAAUAAAACCAACAGAGGACCAGGAAGAAAGAUAAAAAAGAGAAAGUGUCAGGCGAGACACCAUGUCUUUGAGUGAUGGUUCUCCUUAGACUUUACCAUAUACCUUGAAGACGUACGUGGUUGUGCAGAGUGCAACAUCGAUAUACAAUCCAAUAGGGAAAAUAAUCCUCUGUUUUUCUCAUCCCUGUUUUUUUUUGUUUUGCUACCUGCAGAACGCGACACGUGGACAACUUUAAAACCAACGCACCGGAUGUAAUAAUCUCCAUCCAAUC